UGGGGAAUCUUGCGCAAUGGGCGAAAGCCUGACGCAGCGACGCCGCGUGAGUGAUGAAGGCCUUAGGGUUGUAAAACUCUGUGGAGAGGGACGAAUAAGGCAAGGUUAAUAGUCUUGCUGAUGACGGUACCUCUUUAGCAAGCACCGGCUAACUCUGUGCCAGCAGCCGCGGUAAGACAGAGGGUGCAAACGUUGUUCGGAAUUACUGGGCGUAAAGCGCGUGUAGGCGGCCAAGCAAGUCGGAUGUGAAAUCCCGGGGCUCAACCUCGGAAGUGCACUCGAAACUGCUCGGCUAGAGUCUCGGAGAGGGAAGCGGAAUUCUGGGUGUAGAGGUGAAAUUCGUAGAUAUCCAGAGGAACACCGGUGGCGAAGGCGGCUUCCUGGACGAGUACUGACGCUGAGACGCGAAAGCGUGGGGAGCAAACAGGAUUAGAUACCCCCGUAGUCC
rnacentral:rRNA from 1 species